rnacentral:rRNA from 1 species
UACGUAGGGCGCGAGCGUUGUCCGGAUUUAUUGGGCGUAAAGAGCUCGUAGGCGGCUUGUCGCGUCGUUCGUGAAAACCCACAGCUCAACUGUGGGCUUGCGGUCGAUACGGGCAGGCUGGAGUUCGGUAGGGGAGACUGGAAUUCCUGGUGUAGCGGUGAAAUGCGCAGAUAUCAGGAGGAACACCGGUGGCGAAGGCGGGUCUCUGGGCCGAUACUGACGCUGAGGAGCGAAAGCGUGGGGAGCGAACAGG